GGAGGGAGUGUGAUGGUCUACGCUAGCCAACAGGGAGGUAGCUAAGCUAGAUAAGUGGGGUGAGGUUCGGCCCUGCUAUAACCCCCUGGGUAAGUUGUAAUCCUCAGAUGGCACUGGGCCAACUAUAACUUUUACAAGGUCUCAAUGUAGUAAGAUAAAUAGUAGCACCCAGGUAGGUCUAUAUUAAGGCUGGUCACUGGGAGAAUCCAGGUAGGUCUAUAUUAAGGCUGGUCACUGGGAGAAUCCAGGUAGGUCUAUAUUAAGGCUGGUCACUGGGAGAAUCCAGGUA